AAGUCGCAAAUUACCUGUUUGCUGCGUCUUGGGUUCCAGGUGUGGGGAUCACGGUUGAGCUGUGCAGUCGGACCAUGGUGAACUAUGAGCGUCUGUCAUCAAACAAGGAAGUUUGGCACUCCGUGAAUGCAGUGACCUAUGAUGAUGUGCAUGUGAACUUCACUCAGGAAGAGUGGGCUUUGCUGGAUCCUUCCCAGAAGAAUCUCUACGAAGAUGUGAUGCUGGAAACCUUCAGGAACCUCACUACUAUUGGCUACAAUUGGGAAGUUCAUGCUAUUGAAGAGCAUUCUCAAAGUUCUAGAAGACAUGGCAGUAAUCUUCAAAAAAAGAACACAUACUGGAAAGCAAACAUAUGAAUGUGACCAAUGUGGUAAAGCCUUUGCACAUAUCAGAAGUCUUCAAAUUCAUGAGAAAAUGUGCUGCAAAGAAACCCUGAAAUCUCUUAAAAAUGACUUAGUCUAUCUAAAAACCAUGUUCAACUCCUGUUGAAGGGUUCAAGAAACUUGUAAAGAUGCUAAUAUAUCAAACAUUUCUUAAAACACCAUCCCUCAAGAACUGAAUAAAGGUGUGUCAAUAACUCAAAGAAAUUCCACUAAAAUCAGGAAUAAGACAAGGUUGACCAUGCUCUCUACAUUUCUUCAGCAUAGUUCUUGAGGUUUUAGCAAUAGCAAUAAAGCAA